rnacentral:rRNA from 1 species
AACGAACGCUGGCGGCGCGCCUAAUACAUGCAAGUCGAGCGAGAAGGCGUAGCAAUACGUUUGUAAAGCGGCGAACGGGUGAGGAAUACAUGGGUAACCUACCCUCGAGUGGGGAAUAACUAGCCGAAAGGUUAGCUAAUACCGCGUACGCUCCUUGGACUUCGGUUCAGGGAGGAAAGCGAUACCGUGGGUAUCGCGCUCUUGGAUGGGCUCAUGUCCUAUCAGCUUGUUGGUGAGGUAACGGCUCACCAAGGCUUCGACGGGUAGCUGGUCUGAGAGGACGAUCAGCCACACUGGCACUGCGACACGGGCCAGACUCCUACGGGAGGCAGCAGUAAGGAAUAUUGCGCAAUGGGCGAAAGCCUGACGCAGCGACGCCGCGUGGGGGAUGAAGGUCUUCGGAUUGUAAACCCCUUUCGGGAGGGAAGAUGGAACGAGCAAUCGUUCGGACGGUACCUCCAGAAGCAGCCACGGCUAACUUCGUGCCAGCCGCCGCAGUAAUAC